CCGGGAUGCGUUGUUUGUGGAAAUUAAAAUGAAAUUAAUUUUAUUUUAUUUGCAGGUUUAUAUUUUGUUGGUAAUGGAGUGUCGGCAAUCAAUUGAUUCACUGGAUGUUGCGUUGGGAUGUCUUCUGGCUGCUUGCUUAGUUGCUGACAUAUGUACAUUUAUUAUGUACAUACAGUUAAUUUCGUACACCAUAUGUGUUUUAUUUAUUUAAUUGGCAGGUUUUGUCUUCAGCUUUGUAAUAAUUUGUAUGUAAUUUUGUGUAGUUUAUGUUGUUAUAUUUGUUGGCUCUUUUUUUUUUUUUUAGUUGUUUUUUAUUUUUUUAGGUUUGCGGCAGAUUUGGUAAGUGUUUUAAAUUGUAUUUUGGCUGAAUUUAAUUUUAUUAUAUUUGCAGGUUUGGUAAUAGAGUGUAAGCAGUCAAGUUAGGUAAUUUAUGUUGUUAUAUUUGUUGACUUUUAAUGAGUAUAGUGUUUUAUUUUCAGGUUUAAAGAAAAUUGGUGUGAAAAAGAAAAAGUGAUUUUAAUUGUUUUUACGUCAAUUGAAAUCUUAUUAUAUCUGCAGUUUUAUUUUUUGCUGGUUUGAUGGUAAGGUGUCAGCAAUCAAGUUAUUUUGUACGCCAAUACAUGAUAGAUUUGGUGGUAAGGUGUCAGUAAUCAAGGACCAGCUUAGAAUUUGUCGAGCAAAGUUGGGUGAUUCCAUGUAUGACGUGAGGGGCCUUCGCCACAUUUUGAUGCAGCUUUAUUCCA